AGAGUUUGAUCAUGGCUCAGGACGAACGCUGGCGGCGUGCUUAACACAUGCAAGUCGAACGGGAUCCUUCGGGGUUCAGUGGCGAACGGGUGAGUAACACGUGAGCACCUGCCCCUUGGCUCUGGGAUAGCCUCCGGAAACGGGGAUUAAUACCGGACAUGACCUCAGAUCGCAUGAUCUGGGGUGGAAAGUUUUUCGGCCAGGGAGGGGCUCGCGGCCUAUCAGCUUGUUGGGGGGGUAACGGCCCACCAAGGCGACGACGGGUAGCCGGCCUGAGAGGGCGACCGGCCACACUGGGACUGAGACACGGCCCAGACUCCUACGGGAGGCAGCAGUGGGGAAUAUUGCACAAUGGGGGAAACCCUGAUGCAGCGACGCCGCGUGCGGGAUGAAGGCCUUCGGGUUGUAAACCGCUUUCAGCAGGGGCGAAUUCAGACGGUACCUGCAGAAGAAGCGCCGGCUAACUACGUGCCAGCAGCCGCGGUAAUACGUAGGGCGCAAGCGUUGUCCGGAAUUAUUGGGCGUAAAGAGCUCGUAGGCGGCCUGUUGCGUCCGCUGUGAAAUCCCGGGGCUUAACCCCGGGCCUGCAGUGGAUACGGGCAGGCUGGAGGCAGCAGGGGAGAACGGAAUUCCCGGUGUAGCGGUGAAAUGCGCAGAUAUCGGGAGGAACACCGGUGGCGAAGGCGGUUCUCUGGGCCUGUUCUGACGCUGAGGAGCGAAAGCGUGGGGAGCAAACAGGAUUAGAUACCCUAGUAGUCC
rnacentral:rRNA from 1 species